CCUUUAACACUUAUAUGUAGUUUUCUUUUUUAUAAUUUCACAUAAACAUCAUCUAAAACCAAAUUCCGUAUUAACGCCUUUCGUUUUUAUAUUUUAAAAUACAUUCAUAAUUAUUUCUUCAUAAUAUCUUUUCAGUUAUUUUCAUCUUUUCCAUUAUCAUUCUUUACUUGUGGAAUGGAAAUAUUACUUUUAUGAGGAAAAGCAGACGUUACGCGCUUUUUAGUGUUGUCGAGAAAUUUCCUAUGAAACAUCUCUGGUUGAAAAGGAGAGGAACAGGAUUUUCUAUGAGGCACAAGAUCAAAUAUGCUCAGAAUUGCAUGCUUUAGUAAAGGCUGUGAUUAUUUUCGUUAUAUGGUUUCGCUUGUUUUAAUCAUAAAAGAUGGAAAAAGAAUUAAUUUGUGUAGACAGAACACUGCGACUCCCAUUCGAAAUGUAGAGGCGGUCACUCCGCACUGCGCAAAUAGAAAUGUCGUCAUGUUGUUUGCUUUUCUCCUUACCCAAAAACUGUAGAUAUUGGCUAGAGUCUUUGAUUAUUUUUCUCCAACUUGAUUUUCUAAUUGUCUGCGUGAUGUUUGCCCAGAUAACCAAUAAUAUAGAUAUGUAUGUUUUUCUUACUCUUUGAUGAGUGAUUACUAUUUUGUUUUGUUUUUGUUGUUGUUUCCUUUGAACUAAGAAUGUCAUUCAGAAAACGUUGUCAUCCAUAUCCAGGUAGUAUAUAGUUGUAUAAUAUGGUCUUGUAAUAAGGAAAUUGCAGCCCUUACUGAUUUUCUAUUAUUAAUUAGCAUGUUUUAAGUUUUCAUGCUUGUAUUUGGGGAUUUUCUUUUCUGUUUCUUUACUCUGUCAAUAAUGUAACACCUUUGUAUUGGUUAUCUUCUGCUUUGAUGUCCAUUGUUUAGGAUAAACCUUUGACACUCCUCUGAAGUAGUUUGUAUGUGAAUCUGUAGCCACCCAAGGGAUUCACCUUGCUGGCUGCCUAGACAGCCGAUUUAUCAAGACAGGGGAACUAUAAUAGAGAAACAACAAUUCAGGCAGAUCUGGCUGUGCAGGAAAUCAUAGUUUUAUUAUUGCUCAAAUCAGUCUUCCUGGAGCGGAUCUGGGGUUUCUAAGAAUAAUUUGGUGGGUAGUGGGUCGGAAAAUAGGGAGUGCUGAUUGGUCAGGUCGGAGAUGAAAUCAUAGGGAGUGGAAGCUGCCCUCUUGCGCUGAGUCACUUCCCUGGUUGGAGCCAUACGAUUAGAUGAGCUAGUUUAUCAAUAUGGGUGGUGUCAGCUGAUCGAUUGACUGCAGCGUCUGCAAAAUAUCUCAAGCACUGACUGAUCUUAGGUUUCACAAUAGUGAUGUCAUCCCCAGGAGCAUUUGAGGAGAUUUAGAAUCCUGCAGUCUCCAGCUGCAUGAAUCCUAAACCGUAAUUUCUAAUCUUGUAGCGGAUUUGCAAGUCCUACAAAGGCAAGAUGGAGGGGUUUUGUUUUGGGAAAUGGCUGUUACGGUCUUUGUUUUGGAAAAGGGCUGUUGCUGUCUUUGUUGAAACGCUAAACUAUAAACUGAAUACCUCGGGAAGUUACUGGAGCAUGAACAACAGCAGCUUGGAGGUUAGAAGCAAGAUGGAGUCGGUUAGGUCAGAUCUCUUUCACUGUAAUAAAUUUCUCAGUUACAAUUUUUUACAAAGGUGGUUUCAAAUCAAUGGCUUAGUGUCCUGGGUAGUGAAAAUGGGAUUCCUCAACCUAAGUUGAACAUGGAUUUCCUCCUGAAGAAACAAUUUAGGGCUUCAGAAAGCAGGCCAGAAUUGAUGUAGGGCCUGUAUUGUAAAUUGUACAAAUGCCAAGAAGAUUGUAUUGAAAGGCACACAUUCUCUUUUUUUUUUUUUUUUUUUUUUUUGAGACGGAGUUUCGCCCUUGUUACUCAGGCUGGAGUGCAAUGGUGCGAUCUCGGCUCACCGCAACCUCCGCCUCCUGGGUUCAGGCAAUUCUCCUGCCUCAGCCUCCUGAGUAGCUGGGACUACAGUCACGUGCCACCAUGGCCAGCUAAUUUUUUGUAUCUUUAGUAGAGACGGGGUUUCACCAUGUUGACCAGGAUGGUCUCGAUCUCUUGACCUCGUGAUCCACCCGCCUUGGCCUCCCAAAGUGCUGGGAUUAUAGGCGUGAGCCACCGCGCCCAGCCCCUGAGAGGAACACAUUCUCUAGUGAAUGAAGCAUUCCUACAGGGUGAGCCUCUUGAGACUCACUAGUGGAUUUCAUACAAGUAAUGAAAUUCGCAAUCAAAUGGACUAAAAGCAAUUCUGGGGGCAUUUGUUAAAGGUGUAUUAAGAUUUGAGAAACCAACAAACAGCAUUGAUACUUUAUGGAUAUUUAUAUGCCAAAUUAAUAGCUGUGUUACAGAAAAGGGGUCCCUAUCCAGACCCCAAGGGUUCUUGAUAUUCAGGGUGAGUUUGCAGAGUAAAGUGAAAGCAAGAUUAAGAAAGUAAAGGAAGAAAAGAAUGGCUGCCCCAUAGACAGAGCAGUCCUGAAGGCUGCCCGAUGCCCAUUUUUAUGGUUGUUUACUGACUACAUGCUAAACAAAGGGUGGAUUAUCCAUGCCUCCCCUUUUUAGACCACAUAGGGUAACAUUCUGACAUUGCCGUGGCAUUUGUAAAUUGUCAUGGUGCUGGUGGGAGUGUAGCAGUGAGGAUGACCAGAGGUCACUCUUGCCACUGUCAUGGUGGUUUUGGCGGGUUUUCGUUGGCCGGUUUACUGCAACCUGUUUCAUCAGCAAGAUCUUUAUAACCUGUAUCUAGUGCCGAUCUUCUGUCUCAUCAUGUGACUCAAAAUGCCUUAACCAUCUGGGAAUACAGCCCAGUAGGCGUCAUCCUCGUUUUACCCAGCCCCAUUUAAGAUGGAGUUGCUCUGGUUCACAUGCCUCUGACAGAUAAACAUUUGUUUGCCAGGCAAUGCUGCAGUCAGGGCCUCUGUAUUUCAGUCCUCCAUACAAAGAAUGUCAAGGGCAGACCUUAAUAAAAAAAUAAUAAUAAAUGAACAAACGAAUUUUUAAAAAUUACUCUUCAUUUUCAUUCUUUUGUUGUAUUAUGAUCUGACACCAUUAACUUUAAUUUCCUUGUAUGUGGAGAGCAACUCGAUGAAAACUGGUAUUUAUAUAGGUGAAGAAAAGAGACAAGAUUCCCAAAUUUGAAGGAAAUUGGAGGUUUUGUGGGAAACAAACAGAGGAGAUAAGGCUUACUCAUUUCUACUUAUUUUUAAUGAGAAUUGUGCCAUUCAUGCAUAAAUAGAAAGCUCCAUUUAAAUUACAGAAGCUCAUUGAUUCAUGAUGAGGUUACUUCCAGAUAAACCCAUCAUAAGUUGGAAAUAUCAAUAAAAAUGCGUUGAAUACACCUAACUUCCUUAAAAUCUUAGCAUAGCCUAUCCUCCUUAAAUAUGAUCAAAACACUUGUAUUAGCCUAAGGUUUUGGAAAUCAUCCACACAAGGCCUAUUUUAUCAUAAAAUGUUGAAUAUAUCAUGUAAUUUAUUGCCUACUGUACUGAAAUGGAGAAACAGAAAGACCGGAUGCUCAAAAUAUACUUUCCAUUAAUGUAUAUUGCUUCUGUUUAAUUUUAAAAUUUUUAAGUUGAAUCAUAGGAAGUCAGGAAGCCCAUGUAUUAUAAAGUGUAAUGAGUUCACCAGCCACAGAUAACAAGAAGUCAUAGGAAAUGCAGGUUUGGGACGAGGUGGGGUAGUUCGACCCAUUAUACCCGUUUCCUUCACCUCUGCUGGGCUGCCCUUCAUCCUUGGGGAUAUUGCAGAGCGGCUGUGCACUGGAAAGGCACGGGAAUCACUUGCACCUGGGAAGUGGAGGUUUCACUGAGCUGAGAUCGUGCCACUGUGCUCUAGACUGGGCAACACAGUGAGACCCUAUCUCAAAAACAUAAAUAAAUAAAAGGAUAAUAUCUCUGUGAAAGCGCAGUGAUGCAUGGCUUGAUUAUGGCAAUACCUUCAAAGAAAUGCAUUGUGUGGUGAUUUCAUCGGCAUGCAAACAGAGAGAGCAUUACACAAACCUGGAGGUCAUAGCCUACUACACUUCCAGGCUAUAUGGUAUUUUCUCUCUUUUUUUUUUUUUUCUUUUCAGACAGUCUUGCUCUAUUGCCAGGCUGGAGUGCAAUGGUGCAAUCCUGGCUCACUGCAACUUCUGUUUUCUGGUUUCAAGCAAUUCUCCUGCCUCAGCCUCCAGAGUAGCUGGGACUAUAAGCACACACCACCACGCUCGGCUAAUUUUUUGUAUUUUUAGUAGAGACGGUGUUUCACCAUGUUGGCCAGGAUGGUCUCGAUCUCUUGACCUCAUGAUCUGCCCACCUCGGUCUCCCAAAGUGCUGGGAUUACAGGCGUGAGCCACCGCGCCGGGCCGGUAUUUUCUAUUGCUCCUAAGUUAUAAGCCUAUACAGCACACAUAUAUCCUGUAUACUAUAGGCAAUUGUAACAUAAUGAUAAGUAGGUGGCUCGUGCCUAUAAUCCCAGCACUUUAGAGGGCUGAGGUGGGUGGAUCACCUGACGGUCAGGAGUUUGAGACCAGCCUCAGCAACAUGGAGAAACCCCAUCUCUACUAAAAAUACAGAAUUAGCCGGGCAUGGUGGCACAUACUUAUAAUCCUAGCUACUUGGGAGGCUGAGGCUGGAAAAUAACUUGAACGCGGGAGGCAGAGGUUCAGUGAGUCAAGAUCGCACCGUUGCACUCCAGCUAGGGCAACAAGAGUAAAACUCUGUCUAAAAACAAAAACAAAAAACCUCAGAGUCUGCUCGAGGCAGAAAAAAAUAGGGGAAAAAAAACCAUACAACCUAUUUAAACAUAGACAACGCAAAAUGUGGUAUAAAACAAUAAAUAUUUUUCAGUUGUAUAGGGCAUUUCACAUGCAUGGAGCUUGUAGGACUGGAAGUUCUGGGCGAGUCUCUAAGUGGUGAGAGAGUGUGAAGACCUAGGACAUUAACGUACACUAAUGUACAUUUUUGAAACACUUUAAAUCAAGGCUACACUUAAUUUCUUAAAAUAGAAAGUAAUUGCGAUAUGACUUUGUGACAGCUCUGAAAUCUCUAGGUCAAAGGAAGUUCAGCUCUAUUAUAAUCUUCUGAGCGUACCCUCCUAUAUGUGUCUUUCCUUGACAGAAUAAAAUAUCAUUUUCAGGGGCAUGACUAAUCAACAUAUAAAAGCCUAUGUAAUAUUUAUUUUAAAAGCCCUUACAUAGUUAUAAAAGCAUAAGUUUUAGUCACGUAAAAAUAUAAACAAUCUUGAAAUUAAUUCAUAGGUGAAUUAAUAGAUAUCUCGAAAUUGUGGUUAUUAUAGUGGUAACCCAAACUUUAAUGCAGAAUCCUGUAUCUCUUCAUCACACUGUGGCAUAAAGAAUGAUGGUAAUAAAACAUUUCUUAAAGAGGCUGCAGCAUUUUCUGUGCGAUUUGCACCAUUCCUGUUCACACCUGUUCUGCAAGUGUUGAAGCAGGUGAUCCUACCAGAAAAUGACGGCAGAUUUCAGCACAAGUUGAUGCAGACAAUUAAAAGCAUGUAAUGGGUUUCCGGGCGCGGUGGCUCACGCCUGUAAUCCCAGCACUUUGGGAGGCCGAGGCGGGUGGAUCACGAGGUCAAGAGAUCGAGACCAUCCUUGUCAACAUGGUGAAACCCCAUGUCUACUAAAAAUACAAAAAAUUAGCUGGGCAUGGUGGCGCGUGCCUGUAAUCCCAGCUACUCAGGAGGCCGAGGCAGGAGAAUUGCCUGAACCCAGGAGGCGGAGGUUGUGGUGAGCUGAAAUCACGCUAUUGCACUCCAGCCUGGGUAACAAGAGCAAAACUCCAUCUCAAAAAAAAAAAAAAAGCAUGUAAUGGGCCAGUCAUGGUGGUUCCCCCUGUAAUUGAAGCACUUUGGGAGGCUAAGGUGGACAGAUCACGAGGUAAGGAGUUCAAGAUCAACCUGACCAACAUGGUGAAAACCCGUCUAUACUAAAAAUACUGAAAUUAGCUGGGUAUGGUGGCACAAGCGUAUAAUCUCAGCUACUCAGGAGGCUGAGGCAGGAGAAUCACUUGAAACCAGAAGGCAGAGGUUGCAGUGAGCCAAGAUCAUGCCACUGCACUCCAGCCAAGGCAACAGAGAGAGACCCUAGCACAAAAAAAAAAGAAAGAAAGAAAAGAAAAGAGAAGGAUAUCAUGACUGCAACUAGGCUAACAGCUAGUGUGAUAAAAUUUGGAAAAGAAAAGAAUAAAACUGAUGAAAUAAGAAAAUAAAGUUGGAAAUAUUUAUCAAGGGAGCCAUAUUAAUGUAGGUGAAUUAUAGAGGACAAAAUACUUUUCCUGGGUCUGUGAGCACAAAACUGUCAGGAGGAACAGAAGAGGUUGUAGUAGAACCAGCAUGGCCCAAGAGAGGGGCUCUGCAGUGCACUGAGGAUGGGGAGGCUGGAGACAAGGCUGGGCAGAGUCAGGGCUCACAUCCUGACCUGAGAACAGACCAGAGUACCAAAAACAAGUUCACCUUCAAGUACAAACACUCUUCAGACAAAAGGAGAGACGAAGGUGAUGCAGAGGCUGCUCCCUGAGACUGCAUUCUGUGGGGAGAAAAUCAAUUUGAAUGCCUUUUCUUCUUUUAAGAGUUACCCAGAGUCCAUGAGAUCUACUGAUAAGGAAGGCAGUUGGAACAAGUGAGGGUAGUCCUUGUUUGAUGGGAAGGAGCAGUAGCAUUACCAGGAAGGGUUGGUGCUGGGGAGGGGCAAGGGUUAGGAAGGGCAGAGAAGUUUCUGUCCCCUCAGCCAUCUUGCAGAUGUAGGUUGGAUCACUGGAUGGCAAAUUCAAAGUUGGUGGCUCAUGGCCACCUGGCAUCACAGGGUGAGAGCCACCUCACAUGGCCACCUGGCAUCACAGGGUGAGAGCCACCUCACAUGGCCACCUGACAUCACAGGGUGAGAGCCACCUCACAGGGCCACCUGGCAUCACAGGGUGAGAGCCACCUCACAUGCCCACCUGGCAUCACAGGGUGAGAGCCACCUCACAUGGCCACCUGACAUCACAGGGUGAGAGCCACCUCACACGGCCACCUGGCAUCACAGGGUGAGAGCCACCUCACAUGGCCACCUGACAUCACGGGGUGAGAGCCACCUCACACGGCCACCUGACAUCACGGGGUGAGAGCCACCUCACAUGGCCACCUGGCAUCACGGGGUGAGAGCCACCUCACAGGAAACUGCAGAUGAGGGGAGUUUGCAGCUGCACAGAAUGAACAACCCAGGUAAAUUCCAGUAAGGGUUGGCAGGGGGCUGCAGAGGUGGCUGCAGUGAUGGUGGUGGGCAGUGUGCAGCCUUUUAGAGCUUUUUCUCCAUGGACAUACACGUGUGCACCAAACUGUGUUUGCAUGUCCUCUUCCGUGUUCUGACAUUCUUACAGAAUCCUCAUCACUUUCUCAUGGUUCUGAGACCAUAAGAUGGAUUUUCACUUCUUUCUACCACGUGUAUCCUUUCCUGUGUACCUAGCAAAAUUCACCCACAUUCCCUAUGGGUGGAUUAUUCCUGGCUACCGUAUUUUCCACUUUAGUAGCUAAAUGAAUUGCCCUGCUUGGUCUGCCUUUGGUUAAUCAUUCCUGAAGAUUCAUGUCUCCUCAUCUCAGGGGGAGCCAGCCCUGCACAUUGAUGAGCAGGAGUUCAGUUUAGGGUGUUGUGUUUCCCUAGUUAACUUGGACACAUCUGUGUUCUGGAAAUGAUUGAACUCUAUAUUCCUUUGAAAAUUCCUUUUCCUUUAUCUUUUAUCUUUCACUUUAUUUACAGUAGUUUCUCUUUUCUCCUGUUUACUGUGCAUUCAGUUUGCUAGAUUUACCUUUUAAGCUUCCUAAGGAGGAAAUUUAGGUGAUUGAUUUUCAGAUGUUUUCUUUUUUGUGUGUGUGAGGCUAGGUUUUGCUCAUGUCACCCAGCUGGAGUACAAUGGCAUGAUCUGGGCUCACUGCAACCUCCACCUCCUGGAUUCAAGCCAUUCUCCUGGCUCAGCCUCCCUAGUAGCUGGGAUAACAGACUCCCGCCACCAUGCCCGGCUAAUUUUUGUGUGUUUAGUAGAGACAGCGUUCCACCAUGUUGGACAGGCUGGUCCAACUCCAGACCUCAGGUGAUCCGCCCAGCUAAGCCUCCCAAAAUGUUGUGAUUACAGGUGUGAGCCACUGCACCAGCCGAUGUUUUUAUUUUUAAUAGAUGCAUAUUCCCCCUCUACUCCCUUACUGCAUGCUCCAAAUUCUGAUAAAAAUCAUUUAAAUUGAAUGUAGUUCAACAUAUUGUUUAAUUUUCUCUUAAGAUUUCUUGCAUUAUGUGUUGCUAAACGGGGGUUAGUUAAUCUCCAUGUAUUUUGAUGUUUACCAGGUAUCUGCCUUUGAUGAUUAUCAGCUUAAUUUUAUUGUGGUUUUAGGGCAUAUAUUUAUUAGUAUAAAAAUCAUGAGAUCUAUAAAUUUGGAAAGAAAAAGAGCUACAAAUAUUCUUGAAGGCGGCCCUACGGCAUGUAUACUGCACAAACAUGCAUGUUCACCUUGAUGUGGAGACAACGUUUUCUCUCUUUUUUUUUUUUUUUACGCAGUCUUACUCUGUCCCCCACGUUGGAGUACCAUGGCGCCAUCUUGGCUCACUGCAACCUCUGCCUCCUGGGUUCAAGUGAUUCACCUGCCUCAGCUUCCCAAACAACUGGGAUUACAGGCACCUGCCAGAUACCAAGCACAGCUUAUAUUUGUAUUUUUAGUAGAGAAGAUGUUCGCCAUGUUGGCCAGGCUGGUCUUGAACUCCUGACCUCAGGUAAUCCGCCCACCUUGGCCUCCCAAAGUGCUGUGAUAACAGGCCUGAGCCACUGCACCCGGCCAAGACUUAGCAUUUAAAUGUAUUACAGUUAGGCCCUACAGACAAAAGCCCUUUUCAGCACACAAAGGCAGGCACGUACACAAUCUCCGUAAGCCAGUCAGACGCAGUCCAUGGUUGGUGGGCUCUUAUCAGGGGAAAGUUACUAAUAUCAGUCUCCUGUGCAAUCAAGGCUACAAUUAUGGCUGUUGGAACAGGGGCUGGAGUCAGCAUCUGGCGGUGGAUGAGCUACAAAUUGUGUUAAGAUUGCUUAUCUGGAAGUCAUUACUUGCUUAGCUGCUAGAGAAAAAGAUAAACCUGUCAGUUUCAAUUAGAACAUAGUUUAUUCUUCAAGUGCAGGGGUGAGUGACUUAACCCUUGCCUGGCGUGGCCUUAGGUCUCUUUAUAAUUUGAUAUCUUAUCGCCACCAAGAUGAGUCCAUUCUUCAUUCUUUUGACCUUUUAACAUCGAUGCUGGUCAGUUGUCGUGUCUAAACUGCAAAGGAGACACUUGACAACGAGGCAUGUCCCGCUUCCUCUCUGAUCAUUGCCGGAAGCUCAGCUGUGACGGUUUCCCUAGUGUUCUCUCUGUUGAGUCAGUUGAGGGGCUUAGGGUUUUGAUUUUAAUUCUCACAGAAUUAAAGUGUUAAAGUCACUGACCGUAAUUAGUGGAUUCAUCUCUGUUUCCUUUUUUUAACAGUUUCUGCGUCAGAGUUUUAUGUUGUGGUACUACAUGUUACAAUCAUCUCAUGUUCCUGGAUAAGUGGCCCCAUUAUGAUGUAAUGCUCUUCUGUUUCCCUGAUAAUUUCCUGACGUUAUAGUCAGCUUUUUCUGACAUUAAUACAGCCAGUCCUGCUUCUUCUAUUUGCUUGCUAUAUUUUGUUCCAUCUAUUUACUUUUAGUUAAUAUGUAUCUCCAUUUUUAUUAAUUAACAGAUAAAAUGAGAUAUAUAUAUACUAUGUAUGCCAUCAGGUCUGAGUAAGAAUGAGCGAAAUCCAGCUAAUUAACAUGGGUGUUACCUCACAUAGUUAUCAUUUUUGUGCUGAGAACAUUUUCUAUCCACUUUUUAGCAUUUUUUAAAAAUAGACACAGAUCUCCCUCUGCACCUAGGCUGGAGUACAGUGGUUCUAUCAUAGCUCACUGCAGUGUCGACCUCCUAAGCCCAAGCAAUCCUCCUGCCUCAGCUUCCCAAGUAGCUGGGACUGCAGGUGCAGACCACCAUGGCCAGGUAACUUUCAGCAUUUAAAAAAUAAGACCAUAUGUUACUAACUAUGGAGACCAUGUUGCACAGUAGAUCUCUUGAAAUUCUUCCUCCUUUCUGACUGAAAUUUCAUAUUCCUCCGCAAACAUCUGCCCAACCCCACCCCAACCCAGGUUAUGGGAACGACCGUUCUGCACUCACUUGUAUGGAAUCACGUUUUUUAGAUUUCGCGUGAGUAAGAUCAUGACGCAUUUGUCUUUUUGUGCCUGACAUUUGAGUUAACACAAUGUGCUCUUCCUUUCUUACAUUCUUUCCUUCCCUUUAUGGUUUUAAUAUAAAAUUGUAUAUGAUCCAAUCUAUUCUUCUUAGUAUAUCGGUUACGUUUUCCUUUGAUUUAAAAAUAUCAUUAUGGUUGUCAUAUGAAGUAAAACCUUUUCCGUAUUUUAGUUGACGUAACAGAUAACAGUUUACUGACAACAAAAAUUGUAACCACUUAUUUGAUGAGGUAUUCUUAUGUUUACAGUUUGAGUGUGUGCAUGUAUGUGUGUGUGUGUGUGCAUGAGUGCUCACAUAUAAACGCAAUAAAUCAAUAGUACGAAUUACCGAAGGUACAAAUUAGGGUUGUUUUCUUAUUAUAAGCAACUCACACUCCUUGUGAACUGAUAGAUUCUUAUUUGAAACGGAGUUUGAGUUAAUUGUAAAUUUAAGGACUGGCUAUUGGAUUAAGGUCCUCCAUUCCUUGAUGGCUCUUUUCCAGAGGCUGCAUUCAGCUCCUUCCCAUGUUGGCUUCCCCCACAUGGCAGAAUGCUCCAUGAAAGCUACAAAGGGAAAGGUUUGCUAGCAAGACAGAAAGAACCAUUUUACAUAGCAUAAUUAGCCACGUGACAUACCUUCAGCGGUGCACUAUUCUCCUGUGUCAGAAUAAGUCAAGCUUCCUGCUCACACUUACAGGGAGAAGAUUAGAAUGCAGGGUUGUGUUGAUCAGCAGGUGGGAUUCAAUAGGGGCCACUUUAGGGUCUGCCUGCUCUGACAGAUCUUUUCCAACCUGCAACAGUUUCUCAGUGUUUGAUUAUUUUGUAUAAGCUGAACUCAUUUGAAAAGUAACCAUUAGGUAUUUUCUUUUCUUUUUUUUUGAGACGGAGUUUCACUCUCGUUACCCAUGCUGGAGUGCAAUGGCGUGAUCUGGGCUCACCGCAACCUCCGCCUUCAGGCAAUUCUCCUGCCUCAGCCUCCUGAGUUGCUGGGAUUACAGGCACGCGCUACCAUGCCCAGCUAAUUUUUUUGUAUUUUUAGUAGAGAUGGGGUUUCACCAUGUUGACCAGGAUGGUCUCAAUCUCUUGACCUCGUGAUCCACCCAUCUGAGCCUCCUAAAGUGCUGGGAUUACAGACUUGAGCCAACGUGCCCGGCUUAGGUAUUUUCUAGAAUGUCCCACAAGAUGAAUUUGUGUUGUGCGUCUCAUGAUUACAACAGAGACAUACUUUAAUUUAGACACAUUUAUCUGAGUGUUAAAAACUGAACAGGCAAGGCGCCGUGGCUCACGCCUGUAAUCCCAGUACUCACAAGGUCAGAAGUUCAAGAACAACUUCACCAACAUGUUGAAACCCCAUCUGUACUAAAAAUACUAAAUUUGCCAGGUGUGGUGGUGAACACCUGGAAUCCAAGCUGCUUGGGAGGCUGAGGCAGGAGAGUCACUUGAACCCAGGAGUCAGAGGUUGCAGUGAGCCCUGAUCACACCAAUGCACUCCAACCUGGGCAACAGAGCUAGACACUCUCUCUCUAUAAGAAAGAAAGGAAAGGAUGUCAUGGCUACCAGUAGGCUUAGAGCUAUUGUGAUAAAAUUUGGAGAAAAAAGGAACGAAUAAAAAUGAUGACAUAUGACAAUAAAGUUGGAAAUAUUUAUCAAGGGGGCCAUAGUAUUGUAGGUGAAUUUUAGAAAACAAAAUACUUCUCCUAGGUCUGUGAGCACAAAACUGUCCAGAAGAACAGAAGAGGGACAGAUGAGGUAGAAGCAGCAUGGCCCAAGAGAGGGGCUCUGCAGUGCACUGAGAAUGGGGAGGCUGGAGACAUGGCUGGGCAGACUCAGGGUUCACAUCCUGGUGGGAGAACUGAAGGGAGGACAAGAAGCAGGCUCAUGUCAAGGACUAACCCUCUUCAGAUGGAAAGAGAUUGAAAGAGACAUGGAGUGUGUAGGAAACUGGGCACGAAUUUGGUUAGGGGAGUCACGGAUUCACUAGUGAAAUACAAUAAAAAACAAAAUCUCCUGUGUUGCUCUUUGUCCACAGCUUGUGUGGGGUUCACAGGGGAACAACAUAGACAAUUUCCAAAUCAGAUAUUUAAGACAAGUGAGGAAUCAGGAAAAUUAACGGAAAUUAACUGCAAGUACAGAGCUGCCCUUGAGAACUCAGGGGACAGGCAUCAGACCUGGGAUGGGAUGGACAAGGGGGUCUUCCUGGAGGAGGAACAUUGGAGGAUAUCCUGGAGGGUGAGAGGCAGGGGGUCCAGCAGACAGGGGAAGGAAAGAGAAGAGGAAACCGUGUCAUGACACAGGCCAGGGCGUGAGGAAAGGACAGUGGUUUGGAAGGAUGGCUGGGAUGAGUACUGUGUGAAGAGGCAGGAGCAGGAAGGACACACCAUGGAGGGACUGGGAGGGCAGGGAUGGCAGCUCCGAAGGUGAUGCAGAGGCUGCUCCCUGAGACUGCAUUCUGUGGGGAGAAAUUUGAAUGCGUUUCCUUCUUUUAAGAGUUACCCAGAGUCCAUGAGAUCUACUGAUAAGGAAGGCAGUUGGAACAAGUGAGGAUAGUCCUUGUUUGAUGGGAAGGAGCAGUAGCAUUACCAGGAAGUGUUGGUGCUGGGGAGGGGUAAGGGUUAGGAAGGGCAGAGAAGUUUCUGUCCCCUCAGCCAUCUUGCAGAUGUAGGUUGGAUCACUGGAUGGCAGAUUCACAGUUGGUGGCUCAUGGCCACCUGGCAUCACAGGGUGAGAGCCACCUCACACGGCCACCUGGCAUCACGGGGUGAGAGCCACCUCACACGGCCACCUGGCAUCACAGGGUGAGAGCCACCUCACACGGCCACCUGGCAUCACGGGGUGAGAGCCACCUCACACGGCCACCUGGCAUCACGGGGUGAGAGCCACCUCACACGGCCACCUGGCAUCACGGGGUGAGAGCCACCUCACACGGCCACCUGGCAUCACGGGGUGAGAGCCACCUCACACGGCCACCUGGCAUCACGGGGUGAGAGCCACCUCACACGGCCACCUGGCAUCACGGGGUGAGAGCCACCUCACACGGCCACCUGGCAUCACGGGGUGAGAGCCACCUCACACGGCCACCUGGCAUCACGGGGUGAGAGCCACCUCACACGGCCACCUGGCAUCACGGGGUGAGAGCCACCUCACACGGCCACCUGGCAUCACGGGGUGAGAGCCACCUCACACGGCCACCUGGCAUCACGGGGUGAGAGCCACCUCACACGGCCACCUGGCAUCACGGGGUGAGAGCCACCUCACACGGCCACCUGGCAUCACGGGGUGAGAGCCACCUCACACGGCGACCUGGCAUCACGGGGUGAGGCCACCUCACACGGCCACCUGGCAUCACGGUGUGAGGCCACCUCACACGGCCACCUGGCAUCACAGGGUGAGAGCCACCUCACAGGAAACUGCAGAUGAGGGGAGUUUGCAGCUGCACAGAAUGAACAACCCAGGUAAAUUCCAGUAAGGGUUGGCAGGGGGCUGCAGAGGUGGCAGCAGUGAUGGUGGUGGGCAGUGUGCAGCCAUUUAGAGCUUUUUCUCCAUGGACAUACACGUGUGCACCAAACUGUGUCUGCAUGUCCUCUUCCGUGUUCUGACAUUCUUACAGAAUCCUCAUCACUUUCUCAUGGUUCUGAGACCAUAAGAUGGAUUUUCACUUCUUUCUACCACGUGUAUCCUUUCCUGUGUACCUAGCAAAAUUCACCCACAUUCCCUAUGGGUGGAUUAUUCCUGGCUACCGUAUUUUCCACUUUAGUAGCUAAAUGAAUUGCCCUGCUUGGUCUGCCUUUGGUUAAUCAUUCCUGAAGAUUCAUGUCUCCUCAUCCCAGGGGGAGCCAGCCCUGCAGGUUGAUGAGCAGGAGUUCAGUUUAGGGUGUUGUGUUUCCCUAGUUAACUUUGGACACAUCUGUGUUCUGGAAACGAUUGAACUCUAUAUUCCUUUGAAAAUUCCUUUUCCGUUAUCUUUUAUCUUUCACUUUAUUUACAAUAGUUUCUCUUUUCUCCUGUUUACUGUGCAUUCAGUUUGCUAGAUUUACCUUUUAAGCUUUCUAAGGAGGAAAUUUAGGUGAUUGAUUUUCAGAUGUUUUCUUUUUUGUGUGUGUGAGGCUAGGUUUUGCUCAUGUCACCCAGCUGGAGUACAAUGGCAUGAUCUGGGCUCACUGCAACCUCCACCUCCUGGAUUCAAGCCAUUCUCCUGGCUCAGCCUCCCUAGUAGCUGGGAUUACAGGCUCCCGCCACCAUGCCCGGCUAAUUUUUGUGUGUUUAGUAGAGACAGCGUUCCACCAUGUUGGACAGGCUGGUCCAACUCCUGACCUCAGGUGAUCCGCCCAGCUAAGCCUCCCAAACUGUUGUGAUUACAGGUGUGAGCCACUGCACCAGCCGAUGUUGUUAUUUUUAAUAGAUGCAUAUUCCCCCUCUAUUCCCUUACUGCAUGCUCCAAAUUCUGAUAAAAUUCAUUUUAAUUUGAAUUUAGUUCAACAUAUUGUUUAAUUUUCUCUUAAGAUUUCUUGCAUGAUGUGUUGCUAAAUGGGGGUUAGUUAAUCUCCAUGUAUUUUGAUGUUUACCAGGUAUCUGCCUUUGAUGAUUUCCAGCUUAAUUUUAUUGUGGUUUUAGGGCAUAUAUUUAUUAGUAUAAAAAUUAUGAGAUCUAUAAAUUUGGAAAGAAAAAGAGCUACGAAUAUUCUUGAAGGCGGCCCUACGGCAUGUGUACUGCACAAACAUGCAUGUUCACCUUGAUGUGGAGACAACGUUUUCUCUCUUUUUUUUUUUUUUUUACGCAGUCUUACUCUGUCCCCCACGUUGGAGUACCAUGGCGCCAUCUUGGCUCACUGCAACCUCUGCCUCCUGGGUUCAAGUGAUUCACCUGCCUCAGCUUCCCAAACAACUGGGAUUACAGGCACCUGCCAGAUACCAAGCACAGCUUAUAUUUGUAUUUUUAGUAGAGAAGAUGUUCGCCAUGUUGGCCAGGCUGGUCUUGAACUCCUGACCUCAGAUACUUGGACGAAGGUAAUUGGGGCUCCCAUCAAAUCUCCACACAGCUAGCAGCCACGUGGGGCACCUCUCCAGUCUCACCCUGCCGCCAUGCUGGAGCGCAGUGGCGCGAUCUCGGCUCACUGCAACCUCCGCCUCCUGGGUUUGAGCAAUCCUCCCGCCUCGGCCUCCUGAGUAGCCGCGACUACAGGCCUGCGCCACCAUGCCCCGCUAAUUUUUUUGUACUUUUAGUAGAGACGGGGUUUCACCAUGUUGGCCAGGAUGGUCUCGAUCUCAUGAUCUCGUGACUUGCGCGCCUCGGCCUCCCAAAGUGCUGGGAUUAUAGGCGUGAGCCCAGGCAAACGCAUCCAUUCUCAGCAAAACUUACAGAGCAUUCGCCAACAGGAAAACGCAUUCCGCCCUGAACUCUGUGAUUUCCCUUUAGCCUGUCGCCACGAACUCAGCUUUCACGCGCAUAAAUUUUACAGCGCAUCCGAUUUGAAACUUUCUCUGUGUUCAUUUGCAAUCUUUACUUCUGGACCGUCUGGCAGGAUAGCGGGAAAUGGGCAGCCGGCAGUUUUCGUGUCACUGUCCCGAAGUGGGAGCCCUGGGGCCUUGCCUCGGGUUCCAGCACUGCGCCUGGCCUGGCAUGGCGGCUGCCUAGGGGGAAGCUCAGCGGGUCUGCGUGCGCCGGAAGCUCCUCGUUAGCUCACGGCUUGGAUGCAGGUGGACGGCGGCCUGCGAGGGCCGAUAUUAUCAGCCCCUAAGCUGCGCGGCGUGGGAGGGGCGUGGCG